UACGGGGGGAGCAAGCGUUGUUCGGAUUUACUGGGCGUAAAGCGUGCGCAGGCGGUUUGUUAAGUCCGUUGUGAAAGCCCCGAGCUCAACUUGGGAAUUGCAGUGGAUACUGGCAGGCUGGAGUACGGUAGAGGAAGGUGGAAUUCCCGGUGUAGCAGUGAAAUGCGUAGAUAUCGGGAGGAACACCAGUGGCGAAGGCGGCCUUCUGGACCAGUACUGACGCUCAUGCACGAAAGCGUGGGGAGCAAACAGG
rnacentral:rRNA from 1 species